rnacentral:rRNA from 1 species
UACGGGGGGGGCAAGCGUUGUUCGGAAUUACUGGGCGUAAAGGGCUCGUAGGCGGCCAACUAAGUCGGAUGUGAAAUCCCCAGGCUUAACCUGGGAAUUGCAUCCGAUACUGGAUGGCUUGAAUCCGGGAGAGGGAUGCGGAAUUCCAGGUGUAGCGGUGAAAUGCGUAGAUAUCUGGAGGAACACCGAUGGCGAAGGCAGCCCCCUGGGCCAAUACUGACGCUCAGGCACGAAAGCGUGGGGAGCAAACAGG